CGCUAACAAAGCUUGCCUUCAAAGCCGAUUACAAGCACACAGAUAGCUCUCCUAUCAAGAUGCAAUAGAACUGCUGGGGACUUACAUAGCACUGCAGAUGGUAGCGACUUACCCUGAGCCCCUCCCAGGAGAUUCUAUGUUUUUCAAGGUUUCGGUGAUCGAAUUCCAUUUAUCAGACUUCGCAGCAAACCUCCUUACCUGUGGAGCCAUCCUGCCUGCCCUUGGGAAACUUUUGAAUUAUAAAAGUUGUCUAUGGCUUUUCAUGGAUUUUUGAUGAGGAUGCUGCUGAAUAGAGACCGGCGAGAACCAGCCUCCUUCUUCUACUUGAAGAUGCAGAGGGAACAUUUUCAAAGUUCCUCCUUUGAACUCAUUGUUCAGGAUUUUACUGUGGCUACUGAAUAGCAGAUUAUUAAUGUACCUUAUUUUUCCUAAUGUCCAAUAGCUUUGCAUAGUAAGCCAUAUGUUGAAUUUUAGCAAGUGUUAUUUUUCUCCGCAUGUAUUGAGCUGACUCCUUAGGCUCCUAGACUCACAGUGGGCUCUCCCCUGACAAACCCCUUCGAAGUGGGAAGUAACACAAGUCUAAAAUGUGUUUGAUACAUGGAAUCACUGAGCACUGUGGCUCAGGGGCAUAGUAUCCUGGGGGUUGUCAGCUGCCCCCUGGCCAUCCUGGGGUGACUGGGAUCAGCCUCAUGGCUGCUGCCUAGAGUCUUCAGUGUUUUGCUGCAUACUGCUAACCCAAGAAAGGUCAAAAUUCAAAAUGACAAGUGCAGUUUCUGCUAAAUGUGUAUUACUUUCACGCCAUCAAAAAGUUGAAAAAUCAUGGGCCUGUUUUGUUGCCGUUGAUAUACUGGUUUCCAGUAACAGGACAUGUAUAGCAUCAUGCAUCCUAGUAUCCUGGAACAAGUCAGGUUUGCACAUUGUGGAUUUUCCCUUUACAUAUUGCUAGAGUUGGUUUAUAAAUACUUUGCUUAGCUGUUUACACCUGUGUUUACAUGUACAAUUGCCCUGUGAUUUUUUUCUCUCACCCUAUUCUUUACUGGAUUGUAGUAUUGAUAUUCUAGUUUCACAAAAUAAAGAAGGGAAUAUACCUACUUUUGCUACUUUUUGGAAAAUUUUGUACAAGAUUGACAUCAAAUCUUUAAAAAUUUAAAAAUAUCUGGUUGAGCUUAACAUUCGGUGACAAGUUUAUUUUAAAUUUCAGAUUUUCCAGUUUUAUUUUUUUUUCUUGUGCUAAUCUUGGUAAGUAACAUUUCCUUGAGGUUUAUAUUCCUCUGCAUUUUGAAGUUUAUUGGCAGCUGUUUGUGAUACCCUCACGACAUUCCGCAAAUGUCUCCAACAGACGCAAUACAGCCACUCUUCCUCUGCUGACACUAAGAGCGGGGGGGGGGGGGGUGUUCCCCUUUUCUGUCCUGUUUUGUCUGAACAGAUUUAUUGCUUUUAUUAGUUAUUACAUUUUUAUUAUGUUUAUUUAUGAAUUGAUGAGGGGUACACCAGGCACACACGUGGAGGUUAGAGCACAGCUUUUAGGAUUUGGCUCUCUCCUACCAUGUGGGGCCAGGAGAUUGGGCUGAGGUAUUGGGAGCUGGCAACAAGCUCUUUGACUCGUCUCAGCGGCCUCUUUAUCAGUUAUUUUAAAGAACCAAAUUCUGACUUUUAAAAAUCUUCUCUAUUAUCUCUUUUUUCUUUCAGCAUUGCUGCUAACAUUCUUUUAGGGGAAGACCUAAACAAUGUCUAUCUCUCCUCUGAAGGUCCAGGCUACUGCCCAAGAUACAAUGCUACCACAGUUCAUCCUGGGGGAAGCAAGGAGUUUUUUAGGCUGCCGUACAGCGAGUGGGCAAGCAUGUGCAGGCAGGAACACGGAUGGUUCUAAAGCAGCCUCUGGGAGGUCUGCAUCCCGAGUGAUUCCCCCAUGGCUGUGUACUUGGCAUGCCACUCUUCAGGGAGUCCGUCCUUGGCUACAGAAUGCUAGCCCCUCCCUGAGGCCAUAUGCAAUCAGGGCAGAACUGUAUACAACUGGUUGAGAUGAGUGGCUGGAUACCUGGGUGAGGGCCCCUGACCUUCUCCACCCUCCUCCCAUGAAGGAGUGUCAGCAGUAAGCAUUUGCAAGUUGAGUUCACGAAGGUGGUGGCAAUUUGCCUUGGGGGACAGUCCUGUAAGACAUUUCUUUUUCUUGAGUUUAGUGCACAUCAGGACAAGACUAUUUCACUUCUAAACUCUUCUAGAACUCCU